rnacentral:rRNA from 1 species
GACGAACGCUGGCGGCGUGCCUAAUACAUGCAAGUUGAGCGAUGAAGAUUGGUGCUUGCCCCAAUUUGAAGAGCAGCGAACGGGUGAGUAACGCGUGGGGAAUCUGCCUUUGAGCGGGGGACAACAUUUGGAAACGAAUGCUAAUACCGCAUAAUAACUUUAAACAUAAGUUUUAAGUUUGAAAGAUGCAAUUGCAUCACUCAAAGAUGAUCCCGCGUUGUAUUAGCUAGUUGGUGAGGUAAAGGCUCACCAAGGCGAUGAUACAUAGCCGACCUGAGAGGGUGGUCGGCCACAUUGGGACUGAGACACGGCCCAAACUCCUACGGGAGGCAGCAGUAGGGAAUCUUCGGCAAUGGACGAAAGUCUGACCGAGCAACGCCGCGUGAGUGAAGAAGGUUUUCGGAUCGUAAAACUCUGUUGGUAGAGAAGAACGUUGGUGAGAGUGGAAAGCUCAUCAAGUGACGGUAACUACCCAGAAAGGGACGGCUAACUACGUG